ensembl:snoRNA Gm26379 predicted gene, 26379
CCUGCCCCUAGAGGUGUUGUAGGUGUGGCUGCAGUGUCAUAUGUGUGUCAGUAGGUAGCAGAGAGGAGAGAGGCUGUGACUAUGCUCACUGUUCUGACCAUUGAACAUUUGAAUGAUCAGUAGCCUAACAUU